CAGAUGCGAUGCUCAGAUGUGGAUGUGAUUUAUAGUUCUGUGGUUACUAAAAAGUAGCAGGCUGUAAAACAGGUUGUGCAUGCGAGCGCCUGGUGGCCAGGCCUGUUCCCACAGGACCUGACCAGGCACCGUCUGACAUGGGAUCGUCCUCAUGUGGACACACCACCCACAGAAGGACAAGGAGCCGGUGCUAAGAAGAUUGGGCAGUGGUCGACCUCUGGUUUUGUCUGGGAUUUGCAGCAUCACUACAGUUCAUGAGGCAUCAGUGAAAGCUGGGGAUUCUAUCACUAUUCAGUGACUAUCAAUGCCUGACAACAAAACCUAAUUAUUUUGUAAAAUAAAUUUCUUCAAUCUGAUCU